GCCCAGGUGGCGGAACUGGCAGACGCGCCAGCUUGAGGGGCUGGUUCUCUUCGGGGAAUGGAGGUUCGAAUCCUCUCCUGGGCA
rnacentral:tRNA from 1 species